rnacentral:snRNA from 1 species
CUAGAAACCGUGUGUAAACCGAU